rfam:Hordeum vulgare subsp. vulgare, WGS project CAJW01000000 data, contig: morex_contig_109384
UUGCGACUCCCUCCAUCCGAAAUUACUUGUCAUCAAAAUGGAUGUAUCUAGAACUAACAUACAUCUUGAUACGUCCAUUUCUAUGACAAAUAAUUCCGAACGGAGGGGGUAUAUU